rnacentral:tRNA from 1 species
GGGUAGAGGAAUUGGUCAACUCAUCAGGCUCAUGACCUGAAGACUGCAGGUUCGAAUCCUGUCCC